CCUAAAGUGUGCGCCUCUGAUACAGGUUCAAAAUGGUUUCAUGGCCAUAGAAGUGUGAAAAUGCUACAUAUCAAUAAUUGCGCAGAGAGGGCCAAGCGCGGUGGCUCACGCCUGUAAUCCCAGCACUUAGGGAGGCUGAGGCAGGUGGAUCAUUUGACGUCAAGAGUUUGAGACCAGCCUGGUCAACAUGGUGAAACUCGUCUCUACAAAAACUACAAAAAUUAGCCGGGUGUUGUAGCAGGUGCCUGUAAUUCCAGCUACUUGGGAGGCUGAGGUAGGAGAAUCGCUUGAACCUGGGAGGCAGAGGUUGCUGUGGGCCAAGAUUGCACCACUGCAAUGCAGCCUGGGUGACAGAGCGAGACUCUGUCUCAAAAAAUAAAUAAAUAAAAAAAAUAGUGCAGAGGUGGCUUAGGGCACUAACAUCCAAUUAUUUCUAUCAGCAUCCCAGAUCACCACAAAAUACACACUCGAUAUGAAACAAUGUGCAGAAGGACAUCUUCUAGUGUUGUGUGCCCCAAGCAGACUCCUGACAUUAAGCCCUUCUUUUUCCUAGACAUUCUAGAGCCAUCACUGUUGCUCUCUGGAGAGUCACAAUGUCCUUAGCAAAGAAAGGCUAUGAGAAGACCUAAAGUGGAAAAAGAAUAAAACUAAUUUAGUCCGCAUUUGACUACAGAACCCUUCCUUCAACAUGAUGCCUACUAAUAUCCACAGAAUUCAUGGCACAUAACCUGCCAAAUGCCAGGCUAUGUGGAAAUUAAUGUUUGAACAGGAAAAUGUUGUACCAGAGGUGUCCUUGUAAAGGAUGUAGUCCAUUUCUUGCGAUUUUACUGAUACUCAAUUUGAGGCCCUCUUUGAUGUAAUCUGCGGACACCUAGUGCUGAUGCUUUAAUUUAAGUACAUACACAUAAUUUCCUACAAUAAACUGCUGCCCAUCUACAUAAAAAACCCUGCUUGCAGACUGCCUUAUAUUUAAAUUCUUAUACAUCAUCACAAUGCACUUAUAUCUUGGAAUAAUACGAAAGGAUUUAUUUAAAUGAUCCACAGGGUUAAAAAAGAAGUAUGCAGGCUUGUGCUUUUGCUCUUACCUAUUAAAAUGUCUUCCGCAACUACAGAUGUAGAAAGUAUGUCAGGUACUUCUUAUUCUGAUUUUUAUGUCAUACAAAAGGAACUGAAUUAGACUGUGUUUAGGAGACAGAGUUAAAUGGGUCAGAGAGAGGGAUCAGGCCCUUCUACAAAAACUAGAAUGUUACUAGAAUGAAGAUAUAACAAGUGUUUCACUUAAGCAAAUUCUUAAACUUUAUAUUCUUCCACCCUAAAAGCACCCUUCAGGUUCUAAAUAAAGGGAAAAUAAAGACAGGUAACAGGCAAAGGUAAUAGAAUUGCAGUGAUAAGCAUUCUUCUGCUCCAACAAUAUUGGUUGUUUGGUUUUGCCAUUUAAAAUUAAUAGUAACUCGGCUGGGCGCGGUGGCUCACACCUGUAAUCCCAGCCCUCUGUACAUUUAAUAAUGUCAAUGCAAAAACAGCUGUUUGCACAAAUACACUGCAUUAUUAACUUCCUGGUCUUCUGUUGCUAGUUUGAAAUAAUCAGAUCUCAAAUUUUAACAAAAAUUCUGGCACUACAAAACCCUGGAAAGCCAGUUUUAUUUGAAUAUCACUCGAUUAGAGUCUACUCACUUUAAGAUAAGGUUAGUAUUUUUUCGACUAUUUUAAAUCUGAAUUAUAUGGUAUCUAAUUUAAGCCUUCCUGGGAAAUAAAAAAAAAUUCCUCAUUGUGUAUUUACUACUUUACUUACAGUGACUAAGUUGUUGCAAAUAUAUGUAAGUGCAUGUGUGUUAUGUGCAAUUUCUAUUUUUAGUAGGAACGUGGCACCAACAGUUACAGCACUGAGUUUGCCAUGGGCUACUGUGUGACAUGUGAUGACUCAACUCUCCCACCUCUUUUCUCAAAAUGAUCGUGAAACCUUACACGUUUUGUCACAAUGUUCAUUGGCUUUCAACUGAUAAAAACAAAAUCCUAAACUUGGUGUGAAUUCAGGCUCUCAAAACUUCAUGUUUUAAGGUACUCAUCUGGAAAAAUCACAAUAUGACUUUGCUUUAGAUUAGCAUCAAA
rnacentral:lncRNA from 1 species